UCCCCCCCUCCUCCCUGCAGGAGUCCUGAGUCCUUUGACCCUUGCAGGGAUCUGGAUUUGGCAGACACGAUCCAGCCUUUGGAAGAUGAACUGAGGGAACUGGAAAUACAGAAAAUAGAAGCUGAAGCAGAGAAGAAAACCCUUUAUGAGCAUUUGCAACAGGAGCAGAGACCAAGAGACGAGCCUUCAGAUCNAGCCUGGCUGCAGAAUCGCCAACACAACCUGCUGGAAAAGGAGCUCACGAUCAGCGCCUUGCAGCGGCAGAAGGAAGCCACGCUUCGUGCCAUAAGCCUGGUCUGUGUUCAAGCUCGGAAUAAAUUUGCCAAGCAGAGGAUUUUGAUGGAUUUCUAUGCCGGCUUGCAGGAGAUGGUAAGGAAAGCAGAGGAUUCUGAGUGCGAGGAGGACGGCGAGGAAGACAUGGAGGAAGGCGACUUGGCGGAGCCCGAGUCGGGGGGCCCUGCGGCGGCUGAGUCGCGCCUGGGGAAGCUGCGGGUCUUCACCGUGAGUUCUACCGAGUACCUCAAGCUCCGGGGGAAGCUGCUGCGGGACGGCCAGGCUCAGGUCUUCCAUGACGUUGGGGACACAGGUACCCGCAGAGGCGAACCGCUGCCAG
rnacentral:lncRNA from 1 species